rnacentral:SRP_RNA from 2 species
GCUGGGCGUGGUGGCGGGCGCCUGUGAUCCCAGCUACUUGGGAGGCUGAGGCAGGAGGAUCACUUUAACCCAGGAAGCGGAGGUUGCAGUGAGCCAAGAUCGCAUCACUGCACUCCAGCCUGGGCAACAGAGUGAGACUCUGUCUCUA